rnacentral:misc_RNA from 1 species
CCGCCGCGCCAUGCCUGUGGCGG